rnacentral:rRNA from 1 species
GUGCCAGCAGCCGCGGUAAUACAGAGGGUGCAAGCGUUAAUCGGAAUUACUGGGCGUAAAGCGCAUGUAGGCGGGUAUUUAAGUCGAUUGUGAAAGCCCUGGGCUUAACCUAGGAACUGCAGUCGAUACUGGAUACCUAGAGUAUGGUAGAGGACAGUGGAAUUCCCGGUGUAGCGGUGAAAUGCAUAGAUAUCGGGAGGAACACCAGUGGCGAAGGCGACUGUCUGGAUUAAUACUGACGCUGAGAUGCGAAAGCGUGGGGAGCAAACAGGAUUAGAGACCCUGGUAGUCCACGCCGUAAACGAUGAGAACUAGUCGUUGGGAGGCUUAGACCUUUUAGUGACGUAGCUAACGCGUUAAGUUCUCCGCCUGGGGAGUACGGUCGCAAGAUUAAA